rnacentral:lncRNA from 1 species
CACCAUCAAGGCGCCUAAGAUUUUGAUUUUGCCAAGGAGGGUGCAUAUGACCAAACUUUCAUUAGAGUACAUACAGGAAAAGGCAGCAGGGCGAGAUACACAUUAUUCCCUGAUUUCAACACAGGACAGCAUCCAAAAUGCACCAACUUAAAAUCAUUCCUAGGCAAUGAAAGGAAUGGCCUCUCAGGUACAACCAACGAAUUGAUUCGAGUUAUGAUACAACACAGAGACAACACGCGGGCAAGAAGACAACAGGCUGGGCCAACGCUUCCAUCCAUCCAUGUACAAGAGAGCAGAUGUCGGCGCGCAGCUGACGGGGGUCGACAACACCAUCAAAACUCCCUGUGCGCCACUUGCAGUAUUGUGAGCACCUCUCCUCUUGAACCUGAAACGUCACCGGGGGUUAUAUGAUGAUGGGAAAGAUACUAUGGCAAGGUGAAAGGGUUAAAAAUUGCUGGAGGAUGAGUAUGGCAUACAUCGCUCGUAGAGCUCUGAGGCGAGCUCGAGGAGAGACUCGGUCUCCUCGGCCAUCUUGCCGAUCCUUUCAACCUCCAUCAUGUGCUCGUUUGCGAG